rnacentral:rRNA from 1 species
CCUACGGCGGCUGCAGUGGGGAAUCUUGGACAAUGGGGGCAACCCUGAUCCAGCCAUGCCGCGUGUGUGAAGAAGGCCUUCGGGUUGUAAAGCACUUUCAGUAGGGAGGAAGGCUUAUCCUUAAUACGGAUGAGUACUUGACGUUACCUACAGAAGAAGCACCGGCUAAUUUCGUGCCAGCAGCCGCGGUAAUACGAAAGGUGCAAGCGUUAAUCGGAAUUACUGGGCGUAAAGCGCGCGUAGGCGGUUUGCUAAGUCAGAUGUGAAAGCCCCGGGCUCAACCUGGGAACUGCAUUUGAAACUGGCAGGCUAGAAUGCAGUAGAGGGAGGUGGAAUUUCCGGUGUAGCGGUGAAAUGCGUAGAGAUCGGAAGGAACACCAGUGGCGAAGGCGGCCUCCUGGACUGACAUUGACGCUGAGGUGCGAAAGCGUGGGGAGCAAACAGGAUUAGAUACCCCAGUAGUC